AAAAAGUUAGUUUAAAAAAAACAUUAACUUGUCAAGUUAAAAUUAUUUAAUAAUACUUUUUA
rnacentral:tRNA from 1 species